GACUGAGAUACGGCCCAGACUCNUACGGGAGGCAGCAGUAAGGAAUCUUCCACAAUGGACGAAAGUCUGAUGGAGCAACGCCGCGUGCAGGAAGACGGUCUUCGGAUUGUAAACUGCUUUUAUUUGGGAAGAUUAUGACGGUACCAAAUGAAUAAGGGUCUGCUAACUACGUGCCAGCAGCAGCGGUAAUACGUAGGACCCAAGCGUUAUCCGGAAUCACUGGGCGUAAAGCGUGUGUAGGCGGUUGUUCGCGUGAGAUGCGAAAUCCGGUGGCUCAACCAUCUGGACUGUAUCUCAUACGGGGCAACUGGAGGAUGGCAGAGGCAAGUGGAAUUUGUAGUGUAGCAGUGAAAUGCGUAGAUAUUACAAGGAACACCAAUGGCGAAGGCAGCUUGCUGGGCCAUAUCUGA
rnacentral:rRNA from 1 species